ACUCUUCAUUGUCGUCAUAGAGAGCGGGGGAGAGAGAAGAAACACUCUCUGCCCUCUCAUCUUUGAGCUUCGAUGGCGAUGAGCGUUGCAAGGCUGAGGAAGGACGAGAUCCAGAGGCUGGAGAAGGAGAUCGAUUCGCUCCGGCAUCCAACGGUGGAGCUGCAUGAGUCAGAGACGAGCGCGGCACUGAAGAACCUCCUUGAAGAGAGAGAAAGAAUGGUGACAUUUCUAGAGACGAGCGCAGCAGCACCACCAUCGCCGCUGUUAUUCAAACCCUAACCCUCCUCACCCUCACCCUCAGCCCGCUUUGCUCGUCUUUUCCAGUGGGACUGCUUUCAACGGCGUCGUCGAGGAGCUCAAGAAUUUCACCACCCGCGUCGCUCACGUUCUCCCCGUUUCCGACGAUGAAGGAAGCACUGGUGAAAUUGUUAGUGUUCUCGGUGGUCCUGCUGUUAGAGAUAUAUGUUCCAAGUGCCUGAGGUUGUUUGAUCAGAGUACCAUUGAGGCUUUCACAGUUCGAAAUUUGGCUGGGCAUCGUCUACCACUUGAUCCACUGCAAGCUAAAUCAGAAUGAAUAUUCUCCAAGAUGUGGAUGAGUUGUCUAGACUGGCUUGGUCAGCCAAGGUGGCAUCUGCUCACUACUGGCUGGAGUAUUUUUGUUAGCCAAAAGAAUCUUGUUUCUGGAGAUGCAAUUCUCUUACUUAGGUGUGUAUAUGUGUGUGUGUACAAGUAGGAUUUUGUUUUAAAAAUAUAAUAAACACUGAUAGUGUAAAGAAUUGUUAUACUGUCAUAGUGUCACUUAAUUUCAAACCGCCAGCCAUGUACAAUAUAAGUUUGUUUGAUUUUCAAAAUAUCUACCUUAAAAGUCAUACAAAAGGAUGAUUUCU